rnacentral:lncRNA from 1 species
AUGGUGCUUUGGGGGAAGCGGGUGGGCAGUAGAGGGAAGAAGCUUGUCACCAGCUUGCAGCAGCUCGCCGGCGCACUUGGGCUUUGGGAACACAGUUUUUGCAAAGUGCGUUCUUCUCUUGGCGUUUCUGCUAGCGUAUCCGCUUGUUUCUUCCACAGCCUGCCAUCAUCUCCGCAGCGGAGGAAAGGGAAGGCUGCUUUAGCGUCAUCCUACCUGGGGAAGGGGCGCACCGAGCAGGAGCUGCUCACAAGCUCCAUAGGGAGCUCUAAGAGGAGGACAGUAAAGGAAAUUGCUUCCGAUCAUCUGUGUCUCCUCUGCGCGCUGCAGGGACGUGUCCUCGGUAAGCGUUGCCAAGAAGGUAAACGUGCUGCAACGAAGGAAGUUUUCUACUGAAAGAGGUCCUGCACAGAUGAGACCUGGAUGGGAAAAGAGCUAGUAAAGCUGCUGGGCAGCACAGCAAAAAACAGGGACAAGGGGCAUCUUUCUCUCCAGGAUGAGAUACGACUCCGGCCAUGUGCAAGGAAACUAUGAGUCUUCAGUGCAAUUAACCCUCCCUUUGCCUAGAAGGUAAUGAUCUAUACAAACAGACACAUGUGUACAGUGAAGUCCCUUUUCUGUGUAUUCUUUCUGAUACGUUGAGUUGUUAAAUGUGCUAAAUGCCUCUAGACAUACUGGUUUCCUCACCCAAUAAUUUCUUACACAAGCCUUUGUACUUCAGAACAAAUGUCACGUCUCGAGAGAUUAUGACCGCACAGUCACUGUCUUCACGAUUUGUAGCACAGUCUAAACUAUGCUGCAGAUAACCACAUAAUAAUGCAUUGCUUUGUUAUGUCUUGUACAUGUAUGCGUAGUGUCAUUAACAUUUACAGUAUGAAUGGCGUUUUAAAAUGAGACUAGAAAAGGAGUCAUUGUGACUUGAAUCAAACAGUGAUUUGUGCUACUGGGUAACUAAGCCUCUGGAAUCUCGUGAUUAAGGCUUUACUCUUUAAAAUAAUGUUUCUUUUUGUAAGUUAUUUUAUGUCCAAUUUCUGGGUAGGACAAUGUAACCGUAGACCUGAGCAUGAUUAAAUAUAUAAAAAAACCAAACAAACCAAAAAUCCCCAAACCAGUUCAAUCUUCCACGGUACUUAAGCAUAAGGAUCUCAUGGUGCUUUUAAUCAUCAGUCAUCAUUAUCACCAUCAUCACCACCAAAGUAAGAGAACAAAGGACAUUUUGGCUGUAGAAGCCAGUGUCCUGGCUCCAGUGCAUCAUCCUGGAAACAAAAAGUCAAAGCAUAAUAUCAGACUAGAAAAAGCCAAGGGGAUUCAAGAGUAUCCUGUGCUCCUGGGAGGCGCCUGAUAGCAGGCCGCUUUUUGAGGUCACAAACUUGUAAUGGCAGAGGAGGUCAGCAGUCAGGGCAGAUGUCUGUCUGUGGAGCAAAGUAUCCUACAUGAACGAAGUAGUAAAAAUGUAAGCGCCGUCUCAUUAAACAUUGUUUCCGUUCCAGAAAUAUUGACAAUGGGCAUCUUAAAAAACACAUAUGAAAACAAAACAAAAAAUACCCUCCAAAUCCAAAAUGAUGUUAUGCAGCAUUGGUAUUGACUGCAAGCUAGUAAACACACUUUGCACACGGUAUAUGACAUCUCUAAAGCACAGGGUAAGACAGUGAAUGCUAGGGAAGGACUGUAGCAGUGGUGAGCAGGGAAAGUGCUGAACAUACUUGUUCCAUCCUCCUUUCAAACGUGUAUGUAGCUUUAUUUCUGCACCUGCGUCUCACUUCAAGCAGAUCUGUGUUCUAAUCUUGCUUUUUAACGUAGAAGAUGCUGCGGUAGAAAAUGGGUUUAUUUGGUCAUAACCUAGUGAUCUAAUCAGUGAUCACAAAAGUGAUCUAUGGUUUAUGACAUGAACCAAUACAGAUACUUUCAGACUGGCUGCAGGCAGGUAAGACUGCGUUAGAAAAACAGCUCUGCUAAAAGCAAAAGACUGCAGAUGUAUAUGUUUGAUUCAAGUGGCCCUGUGCCAAAGGUUAGUAUUUCUGCACUGGCAGCACUCAUGAUAAGAAAAGGGAAAAACUGCAUAAAACAAUAACACCAAAAACAAAAGUAAAACACCCUUCCUUCAUCUCAGCUCCCCAAAAGCAGAGUAGCAGCCUGAGCUACAACCUGAAUGCAGGAAGAUAAGCUAGGGGUGAAGGUCAUUAGCAGGGAUCCAAAGGGAGGCUGAAGUUAUCUGGCAGUUGUUAUUGCAGCCUGUGAAAACAGGUAAGUGCUGAGCUGGAGAGGGACACGACACUAACUUAAGGGAACGCAGGGUGCUAGCUGGGUUCCUUCAUCACAGGAGGCUACAUCAACAGGAAAAGGCUAAAUUAAGUGGGACGUACCCAGAGUCUUCUGUCUAAACUAUUUAAAGAAGGUCACGAUCAUGUAAAAAUUCUGAUGGCUGCAAGAUGCUAAAGAGACUAAACUCUCUCACUGACACUGGGGAAGGGGGAAGCAAAUGGCACUUGGAAAAUCGGGACAGAAAUCAACAGUUAGGAAAAGUGCCAUCCCCCUGCAGCAAGUUUUAUUACUCCCAGUGCAAAAGGACUGUCCUAGCUAGCAAAAUAUCAUUUUCUACUGAGGUCAGUUGCAAGGACAAGGAUAUACAAGGCUUCUGAGUCUUAGUUCGUUUCCUGCCUCUCCAAGGAGGGCUGGAUGUGCCUCUUUCUAGAGUUCAUUAAUACUAGUUUUCACUAUCUAAAUUUCAUGCACAUAGAGAGGGGUGUGAGUGGACGUAAAAUGUGUGCGUAGCCUAAUCCUGGAGUACUGAAGGAUUUUUAAAACAAGGAAUCAAGGCAAACAAACCUUCAAGCACCAUAAACUUUCAAACCCGUGACCAUUCCUGUGCUUGUUCUGGAAGUACUCUGCUGCUUCACUUGAAGCUGCAUGUUGUUCUAUUUGACCUGACACCUGCCAGGAAGAUGAAAGAAAAUGGUGCUAUACUGUUUUCAAGAUAGCUCCUCUCAGAUAUGACUUUUUUUUUUUUUUUUUAAUCUUAGAUUCCUGCUCUUCUCCCAGUUUUUCCGGAUGGGUGUGGAAGAGGCACGCAAUAGGGAAGUGGCUUGGCAAAGAUGAAGCUGUAAGUAGCUGGCAUGCCCAGGGCAUAUAAAGUUGCUGGGUUUGAAGAUAAUUGACUGUUGCAGAGCAAAAACAGUAGAAGACGCCAGUUAGUCAAAGACAGACAGACAGAUGACAGGAUGGUAGCAGCUAUAGUUAUAGUAAUAGGCGCUCUGCAGGGGACAAUAAAUGAUUGCCUAAGGCACA